UGGAGAAAAGCCUUCUCCAGCUGGGGGCCCUAAAGGAGCCAAGCUGUAAUGGGGACGCUAGCGACCAGAGGACGGAAAGUCCAAAGACACAAACUGUUGGCAGAGGUGGGACUGUGGCACCGCUCCUGCCUCCUUCUCCAGGAGUAGUCCAACACCAUGGGACAGUAACGUCACUGGCAGAUGCUUAAGGUGGUGUUGGAGUUUGUUAGUCCUGGGUAUCAUUUGCAGCCUCAGUGCCCCCUCUAAGGCAAGCCAGUCUUGGAUCUGCUGAAAUCACCCCGAAAACUUCACACUGGAUGCUCUGUGCAUGUGCUCAUUGGAUUCAGAGUGAUGUGAAUGGAGCAGCAGAGCCUGGCUGGGAUAUCCCAAGAUCAAGGAAUUCAGCACGCCAAGAUCUAUCUGCAAGACUUUAAAGAAUUUCAGCUGAUGAUUUUCCUCCCUUCCUGGAAUCAGGCUUGGCAUUUACAUAUUGGAUCAAUCCCGUAGCUGGAGCCUGCUUCAAAGUCCAUGGAGUCGAUAAGAUGGUCAUUUACUUCAAUUGAGUUGGAUCCGGGUACCUGGGAAAGCUAAUAGGACAACAGCUGAGCGGCUCCUCCGUACCCGGCAGAUAACAAAAAUCAAGCAUGAGCUAGAGUUAAGGGGGAGACUUUUCUAAGGCACAGGAGGUUCCCUGUGAGAAAUCCAACAGAGCUGGAUCCAGCUCUUCAAAACAUGGCAAAUCUCCAGAGAAAUAAGCACUGUUUUAACGUUGCAAUUCGUCACUCCAGCCAGCAAUGGCCGAGAUAGGGACUUACAGGGCCAAGAGAAGGAGCAUCUUGUCUUUGCCCAUUGCUUUGGUCUGCUUUUGCACCCUUGUUUGCUGGCGCAAGCAUUGGGGCAGCCACAUUUGGUUUAAAAUGUGUUGAUCCAGCUUGGUUGUCCAAUCCCUUGUACAGACAUGAGUUGGGCCAAGUUUUGAGGUAGGAAAUGCAAGUGAAGGGGGGAGUGGGGCAGAAUUGCCUCCGUCAGAGGCCAUCCCACCUCACUGCCUGCUUCAAGCGACCGUGAAACGUGGUCCGCAGUGCUGCAAGGCAAGUAGGUAACAUGAGGUCAAUGGUUGGACUUGAUGAUCGUAAAGGUCUUUUCCAACCUAGAUGAUUCUAUGAGGCAGCUGCCCACAAUUAGGCACUCUAAGCGAUUCAGCUGCAUCUGAGCCCCUGUUGAUAAAUGCUGGAGAUUCAUCGCUCUUUGCAAACAUGGCCUGAAGGGAGAUUUCUAAAUAAAAUGUAUCAAAACCCAUGUCUGGACUUUUUGGUUUGG